rnacentral:rRNA from 1 species
AUUGAACGCUGGCGGCAGGCUUAACACAUGCAAGUCGAGCGGAGCGGCGGACGGGUGAGUAAUGCUUAGGAAUCUGCCUGGUAGUGGGGGAUAACGUCCGGAAACGGGCGCUAAUACCGCAUACUAGCAGAUGAGCCUAGGUCGGAUGAGCUAGUUGGUGGGGUAAAGGCCUACCAAGGCGACGAUCCGUAACUGGUCUGAGAGGAUGAUCAGUCACACUGGAACUGGGACACGGCCCAAACUCCUACGGGAGGCAGCGGUGGGGAAUAUUGGACAAUGGGCGAAAGCCUGCUCCGGCCAUGCCGCGUGGUUGAAAAAGGUCUUCGGAUUGUAAAGCACUUUAAGUUGGGAGGCGUUACCAACAGAAUAAGCACCGGCUAACUUCGUGCCAGCAGCCGCGGUAAUUC